rnacentral:rRNA from 1 species
UAAAGAAUUUCGGUAUGGGAUGGGGAUGCGUUCCAUUAGUUAGUUGGCGGGGUAACGGCCCACCAAGACAACGAUGGAUAGGGGUUCUGAGAGGAAGGUCCCCCACAUUGGAACUGAGACACGGUCCAAACUCCUACGGGAGGCAGCAGUGAGGAAUAUUGGUCAAUGGACGAGAGUCUGAACCAGCCAAGUAGCGUGAAGGAUGACUGCCCUACGGGUUGUAAACUUCUUUUAUAUGGGAAUAAAAUGUUCCACGUGUGGGAUUUUGUAUGUACCAUAUGAAUAAGGAUCGGCUAACUCCGUGCCAGCAGCCGCGGUAAUACGGAGGAUCCGAGCGUUAUCCGGAUUUAUUGGGUUUAAAGGGAGCGUAGGUGGAUUGUUAAGUCAGUUGUGAAAGUUUGCGGCUCAACCGUAAAAUUGCAGUUGAAACUGGCAGUCUUGAGUACAGUAGAGGUGGGCGGAAUUCGUGGUGUAGCGGUGAAAUGCUUAGAUAUCACGAAGAACUCCGUUUGCGAAGGCAGCUCACUGGACUGCAACUGACACUGAGGCUCGAAAGUGUGGGUAUCAAACAGGAUUAGAUACCCUGGUAGUCCACACAGUAAACGAUGAAUACUCGCUGUUUGCGAUAUACUGCAA